GCAGCACAGUGGCAGGGCAUCUGCCUUGCAUGGAUAAGGUCUCAGGUUCGAUCCCUGGCAUCUCCA